UACGGAGGAUGCGAGCGUUAUCCGGAUUUAUUGGGUUUAAAGGGUGCGUAGGCGGAUUUUUAAGUCAGCGGUAAAAUUGCGGGGCUCAACCUCGUUGAGCCGUUGAAACUGGGUGCCUUGAGUGGGCGAGAAGUACGCGGAAUGCGUGGUGUAGCGGUGAAAUGCAUAGAUAUCACGCAGAACUCCGAUUGCGAAGGCAGCGUACCGGCGCCCAACUGACGCUGAAGCACGAAGGCGUGGGUAUCGAACAGG
rnacentral:rRNA from 1 species